rnacentral:rRNA from 1 species
UACAGAGGUCUCAAGCGUUGUUCGGAUUCAUUGGGGCGUAAAAGGGUGCGUAGGUGGCGCUGUAAGUCAGGUGUGAAAUUUCGGAGCUUAACUCCGAAACUGCAUUUUGAUACUGCGGUGCUUGAGGACUGGAGAGGAGACUGGAAUUUACGGUGUAGCAGUGAAAUGCGUAGAGAUCGUAAGGAAGACCAGUGGCGAAGGCGGGUCUCUGGAC